UUCUCUUGUAGAGGAUAUUGAAGAAUAAGAUCCAAGCAUUCUGCCCUGGCCAGAUGGGUCAACUGGGGAUAUGAUAGAACUAUUUUGGACACCAAAAGGGGUGAAUUUUACUCUAGUCUAGGAGUGGGUCACCAAGGACCUCCUGGAGUCAGAGCAGAAGAACAGCACAGUGGGAAGCGCGUGUUACUGAUUCAGAGCUAGGUAACGAAGAGAAGACAAUCUCUAAUCGAGGCUUCAACAGUAAGAAAGUAGAUUUAAUUUGAAAGCCCAAGGAGUUCAGAUUCAUUCAUUUCAGCUAUGUGCUGAGGGUCUGUUAAAUCAGGUAUUGUUCUUGGUGUCAGGGUACGGCACCUAUAAUUAGACACACAAAGUCCUUACUUUGAGGAACUAUGUCUCCACUUGGGUCUCUUUCUAAAACUUAGCCAAUAUUGUACUCCUGAAAGGCCUCAGAAUGCUUUCAUGUGUAGGCUUUAUGUAAUAGAGUUUUUAGUUAAUGUUUUAUUCCUUAUAGCCUAUAUUUAUAUAUUAAAGGUAGACGUAUAAUACAUACAGUUAUAUGUAUAAUUUCUGGAUCCUAGCAGCCAACACAUAAUAGUGGUCCUUACUGUUGAACAUUUGCUAAAUUGUUUCAGUGGGUAAGGUACUA